ACGCACGUCGCGCGCCGGCGAACGGCUUUUCAGGUAGGCCGGACCGCCCAGCUGGGUGACCUGUUGUUCGAUCCAGUGCGUGCGUUC
rnacentral:tRNA from 1 species